CUGAUGUGGGCCUGCUGAGAUUUGGGGAUGCACUCGAGGAACGUCGAAUUGCUCUGCACACCGAAGAGAACUCCCUCCUCCACCUUUCCAACGCCGAGGCCUGAAGAAAAAGCCAUCCAAAGACGGAACUGAACUGAACUGAACUGAGAUGAGUGUGCUGAGGAACUCACCGUUCCAGGAC